AAGUUCAUGAAUUUUUGCAGAUGUGUCAAGAUAUGGGAUUUUUGUUAGUGGCGCUUGGUUUGAGUGGUGCCCUAGGGCAGGCUUUUAUAUUCGUCACAAUUGCGAAGUUCGGUGCUUUGACAUGUUCCAUAAUUGGAUUGGCACG
rnacentral:ribozyme from 1 species